GCCCAUUUAGAGCAGUGGUUAGCUCGCUCGCCUCCGGGGCGCACAGGCUGAACAGCGGGAAGGCAAGGGUUCGAAUCCCCUAAUGGGUG